AAACUUUCAACAACGGAUCUCUUGGUUCCCCCAUCGAUGAAGAACGCAGCGAAACGCGAUAGUUAAUGUGAAUUGCAGAAUUCAGUGAAUCAUCGAGUCUUUGAACGCACAUUGCGCCCAUUGGUAUUCCUUUGGGCAUGUCUGUUUGAGCGUCAUUA
rnacentral:rRNA from 1 species